UGAGGAAUAUUGGUCAAUGGGUGCAAGCCUGAACCAGCCAUCCCGCGUGAAGGACGACUGCCCUAUGGGUUGUAAACUUCUUUUGUAUAGGGAUAAACCUACCCUCGUGAGGGUAGCUGAAGGUACUAUACGAAUAAGCACCGGCUACCUCCGUGCUAGCAGCCGCGGUAAUACGGAGCGUGCAAGCGUUAUCCGGAUUUAUUGGGUUGAAAGGGUCCGUAGGCGGACUUAUAAGUCAGUGGUGAAAGCCUGUCGCUUAACGAUAGAACUGCCAUGGAUACUGUAAGUCUUGAGUAUAGUUGAGGUAGCUGGAAUAAGUAGUGUAGCGGUGAAAUGCAUAGAUAUUACGUGGAACACCAAUUGCGAAGGCAGGUUACCAGGAUAUAACUGACGCUGAGGGACGAAAGCGUGGGGAGCGAACA
rnacentral:rRNA from 1 species